CUCACAGAAGUCAGCAGGUAGCAUCAGCUACAAAUAAAAUUUCAAACCGCAAAAUGUUCCAUUUCUAUGAUAAAGAUGGAUUAUAAUGAAAGGAAGCCCCUGAAAACACUGCUGGAAAGUUUGGGACAAAAUGCCAUUCCUCACAGGUGUGGGCUGCAUGCUCUGGGGACUCCAUGCCCUGUUCUGUGGUUACAGGCAG